UAGAGAGUGGUGCAAAGGCUGAUCAGUCUAAAGUGAUCCAGAGCCGACUUAUCAAAUCUCUUUGGAAUAAGGAUGAUCAACAUCUUCUUUCAUUGCUCAGGAAUACCUUUGAACCGACUCACCUCAUCUGAAAGAGCCGCUGAGCUAGAGAGCCACAAUUUCUCAUAGCAUUGGUACUCUAAUUUUCUAACAUUCAUUCUCCUCAAAUUUUGGACUCUAUUCUGGUCUACCAAGCCACGUGUCUCUAUUGAGUGGGAAGAAGAGUGGAGCCCCAUCCCAUCCCAUCGAAGCCAA
rnacentral:lncRNA from 1 species